rnacentral:misc_RNA from 1 species
GAUGAAGAACGCAGCGAAAUGCGAUACGUAAUGUGAAUUGCAGAAUUCAGUGAAUCAUCGAGUCUUUGAACGCACAUUGCGCCCUCUGGUAUUCCGGAGGGCAUGCCUGUCCGAGCGUCAUUGCUGCCCUCAAGCACGGCUUGUGUGUUGGGCUCCGUCCCCCGAUCCCGGGGGACGGGCCCGAAAGGCAGCGGCGGCACCGCGUCCGGUCCUCGAGCGUAUGGGGCUUUGUCACCCGCUCUGUAGGCCCGGCCGGCGCUUGCCGAUCAACCAAAUUUUUAUCCAGGUUGACCUCGGAUCAGGUAGGGAUACCCGCUGAACUUAAGCAUAUCAAUAAGCGGAGGA